AGCAGUCGCCGCGGUAAUACGUAGGGUGCAAGCGUUAAUCGGAAUUACUGGGCGUAAAGCGCACGCAGGCGGUCUGACAAGUCAGAUGUGAAAUCCCCGGGCUUAACUUGGGAACUGCAUUUGAAACUGGCAAGCUAGAGUCUUGUAGAGGGGGGUAGAAUUCCAGGUGUAGCGGUGAAAUGCGUAGAGAUCUGGAGGAAUACCGGUGGCGAAGGCGGCCCCCUGGACAAAGACUGACGCUCAGGUGCGAAAGCGUGGGGAGCAAACAGGAUUAGAUACCCCAGUAGUCCCUGUCUCUUAUAC
rnacentral:rRNA from 1 species